rnacentral:sRNA from 1 species
GCCGCAGUGUCUACACCCGCAAAAACGCCCGCUUUGACCUAGAGCCCUCCGCAUAUCCUUCCCCUGGCUGGGGCAGCCAAGGCGUGGAGGACAGCUCCGAGGCCAGAUGUUUACUGCGCAGAUGCCCGACUUUACACCAGGGUCCGGGCUGUGCCGGGCGCUGGGGGAAGCGCCCACCUUCCAGAGAGCGAAAUCAUGGAGCCUUCCAAGACCUUCAUGAGAAACCUGCCAAUCACACCAGGCUACAGCGGCUUCGUGCCGUUCCUUAGCUGCCAAGGAACAUCCAGGGAGGAUGACAUGAACCACUGUGUGAAAACCUUCCAGGAGAAAACACAGCGCUAUAAAGACCAGCUGCGGGAAUUUUGCUACGCAGUGGCCACUGCCCCGAAACUGAAGCCUGUCAACUCCGAGGAGACGGUCCUGCGGGCCCUGCAUCAGUACAGUCGGCAGUACCACCCCCUGAUCCUGGGUAGCAGCGCCCUGAAACCAUUUCCCCUCAUCCCUGGUCACCCGUGCAGAUUCUCAUAGGCCAGCUGAGCUGCCCUAGAGCACCCAGAAUCCCGCACAGUUCCAAAUUCCAGGGGUCAGCGCCAAAUGCAAAGGCUCCAUUUCUUAAAAUGAGAAAGAUACAUUUCUUUUUCCUUUUUUUCUUUUUCUUUUUUUUUUGGAGACAGAGUCUCAUGCUGUUGCCCAGGCUAGAGUGCAGUGGUGCAAUCUUGGCUCACUGCAACCUCUGCCUCCUGGGUUCAAGCGAUUCUCCUGCCUCAGCGUCAGCCAAGUAGCUGGGACUACAGGUGCAUGCCACCAUGCCCGGCUGAUUUUUGUAUUUUUAGUAGAGAUGGGGUUUCACCAUGUUGCCAAGGGUGGUCUCGAAUUCCUGACCUCAGGUGAUCUGCCCGCCUCGGCCUCCCAAAGUGCUGGGAUUACAGGCAUGAGCCACAGAGGCUGGCCAGAAAGAAACAUUUCUAGGGGAGGAAACACAGUCCUGGUUAGGGAAGAGGGUGCUGGUCUGAGAACUAGGAGACCCUAGGCAAGUCACAAGUUUUCAGGCCUCAGCUUCUGGAUCAGUGGAAAACAUUUUUUAGUUGCUUUCUCUGUGCCACGGUGUCUUUUUACAGAAUGCAAAUAUGUAAAGAAACCUCUCCAGGAGCCCCCAAUCCCUGGCUGGGCAGGCUACCUGCCGAGAGCCAAGGUCACUGAAUUUGGCUGUGGCACAAGAUACACUGUCAUGGCCAAAAACUGCUACAAGGACUUCCUGGAGAUCACGGAGAGGGCCAAGAAAGCACAUCUGAAACCAUAUGAAGAGUGAGUCUGGCUUGGGUCCGUACCCCAGGCACAAGAUCAAAGGGAGAAGUGCAAACCCGGGACGGGGGUUUACCAGAUGUCCCCAUCCCAGCACUAGGACUAUUUGUGUGUGAUUUGUCUUAGAAAAGGUGCCUCAUUUGUAGUUUCAGGGCUUCCCCAGUAGGCAGGUGCCCUCUGCUCCCGACCUGUGCUCAGCAUUCCCCAGCAGCUCUACCUGUGGUCUUUGCUGGUUUCCAGGGAGGGGAUGGGAGUAAAAACCAGCAGGGCUACCAUCCUGGCAGUGGCUUAAGGCCCAAGGGUGCUGAGUGGCCUCAGCUUUCUCUUCUGCGAAAUGAGGAGGAUGAUCUUUACCUUUAGAAUAAAUUGUAAGGAAAUAACAUACCAUGUUCAUAUAUUUACUCUUAUAUUUAUGUAUUGUAUUUUAUUCUAUUUAUUAUUAUUCUAUUCUUAAUAAAAGGUCCAUAACUUUGUGACUUC